GCGGGGGUGCCCGAGCAAGGUCAAAGGGGUCGGGCUCAGGACCAUAUGGUGAGACCCCCGAUGGUGUAGGCCUGCGUGGGUUCAAAUCCCACCCCCCGCA
rfam:Sulfolobus acidocaldarius DSM 639, complete genome.